rnacentral:rRNA from 1 species
UACAGAGGGUGCAAACGUUGUUCGGAUUUACUGGGCGUAAAGCGCGUGUAGGCGGCAAUACAAGUCGGAUGUGAAAUCCCGCGGCUUAACCGUGGAAGUGCACCCGAAACUGUAUCGCUAGAGUCCCGGAGAGGAUGGUGGAAUACUUGGUGUAGAGGUGAAAUUCGUAGAUAUCAAGUGGAACACCGGUGGCGAAGGCGGCCAUCUGGACGGUGACUGACGCUGAGACGCGAAAGCGUGGGUAGCAAACAGG